rnacentral:rRNA from 1 species
AUUCCAGCUCCGCAGGUGUAUAUCUAUGCUGCUGCGGUUAAAAAGCUCGUAGUUGGAUCUGCGUGCUCGGAACUGGUUGGCUCACUGAGUUCAAACUGGUCUCCGGCGCUUUAUUUGCUGGUUUUCCCUUGAUGCUCUUAACCGGGUGUCUCGGGUGGCUAGCGUGUUUACUUUGAAAAAAUUAGAGUGCUCAAUACAGGCGCAAAGCCUUGAAUAGUGGUGCAUGGAAUAAUAGAAUAGGACCUCGGCUCUAUUUUGUUGGUUUUCGGAACACGAGGUAAUGAUUAAGAGGGACAGACGGGGGCAUUCGUAUUGCGACGUUAGAGGUGAAAUUCUUGGAUCGUCGCAAGACGGACGACUGCGAAAGCAUUUGCCAAGAAUGUUUUCAUUAAUCAAGAACGAAAGUUAGAGGUUCGAAGGCGAUCAGAUACCGCCCUAGUUCUAACCGUAAACGAUGCCAACUAGCGAUUCGCAGGCGUUAAACAACGACCUUGCGGGCAGCUUCCCGGAAACGAAAGUGUUCCGGUUCCGGGGGAAGUAUGGUUGCAAAGCUGAAACUUAAAGGAAUUGACGGAAGGGCACCACCAGGAGUGGAGCCUGCGGCUUAAUUUGACCCAACACGGGAAAACUCACCCGGCCCGGACACCGUAAGGAUUGACAGAUUGAGAGCUCUUUCUUGAUUCGGUGGGUGGUGGUGCAUGGCCGUUCUUAGUUGGUGGAGCGAUUUGUCUGGUUUAUUCCGAUAACGAACGAGACUCUGGCCUACUAAAUAGUGGGCGGAUUCUUUCUGUCCGCAACACUUCUUAGAGGGACAAGCGGUGUUCAGCCGCACGAGAUUGAGCAAUAACAGGUCUGUGAUGCCCUUAGAUGUCCGGGGCUGCACGCGCGCUACACUGAAGGAAUCAGCGUGCUUUCUGACCUUGCCCGAAAGGGCUGGGUAACCCGAUGAAAAUCCUUCGUGAUUGGGAUAGGGACUUGCAAUUAUUUCCCUUGAACGAGGAAUUCCCAGUAAGUGUAGGUCAUAAGCUCGCGUUGAUUGCGUCCCUGCUCUUUGUACACACCGCCCGUCGCUGCCCGGGACUGAGCCGUUUUCGAGAAGAACAGGGACCGUCGUUGAAGGGCCCUAACGGGCUUUUCUCUGAUAGAAACUGUUUU